rnacentral:sRNA from 1 species
AAAUAGUUGCGUUAGGGAUUGAAACGACAUCCUUUUUUUGUUUUUUCAAAAAAAGAUAUAGUGGAAAGCCCGUUAAAAC